AAUGAUAUAGAGACACGAUUUACUCGGAUUGGCCGCGUUGAUGAUCGACCUCUAGCUGAGACUAGUGAUAAGGUUCAAAUGACCUAGAACUACUCUCUCAAAUAAGAGAUCAACUGCAGUAUUUUAGGAUCGAAUUCACAGAGUUCUUUUGUUCAAACAAUGAGUUAAAUGUCGAGAUUAACACCGUCGAUCCAGAUCCAGUGUCGAUCGACACUAGAGGGGUAUCGGUCGACACCGUCGUAUUGAGUCGUCUCUGAGAAAAGGGUCCCGUAUGGUGUCGAUCGACACUGGAGGGUGUCGGUCGACACCAUCUCUGCAACUGCGAGCUCAACUCGUCUUCAGUGUCCAAUUCCUCCCACACAUCAUCUCAUACUCUGAUCAAGAUGGCAUUACAACUCUUCCUUGGGUUAGC
rnacentral:sRNA from 1 species